rnacentral:rRNA from 1 species
UACAGAGGGGGCAAGCGUUGUUCGGAAUUACUGGGCGUAAAGGGCGCGUAGGCGGCCUGUUAAGUCGAACGUGAAAUCCCUGGGCUCAACCCAGGAACUGCGUCCGAUACUGGCAGGCUUGAAUUCGGGAGAGGGAUGCGGAAUUCCAGGUGUAGCGGUGAAAUGCGUAGAUAUCGGGAGGAACACCUGUGGCGAAAGCGGCGCACUGGACCAUAACUGACGCUGAGGCGCGAAAGCUAGGGGAGCAAACAGG